GACGAACGCUGGCGGCGUGCCUAAUACAUGCCAGUAGAACGCUGAAGGAGGAGCUUGCUCUUCUGGAUGAGUUGCGAACGGGUGAGUAACGCGUAGGUAACCUGCCUGGUAGUGGGGGAUAACUAUUGGAAACGAUAGCUAAUACCGCAUAAUAACAGUUGUUGCAUGACAACUGUUUGAAAGGUGCAAUUGCAUCACUACCAGAUGGACCUGCGUUGUAUUAGCUAGUUGGUGGGGUAACGGCUCACCAAGGCGACGAUACAUAGCCGACCUGAGAGGGGGAUCGGCCACACUGGGACUGAGACACGGCCCAGACCCCUACGGGAGGCAGCAGUAGGGAAUUUUCGGCAAUGGACGAAAGUCUGACCGAGCAACGCCGCGGGAGUGAAGAAGGUUUUCGGAUCGUAAAGCUCUGUUGUAAGGGAAGAACGGGUGUGGGGGUGGAAAUUUCACCCUGUGACGGUAUUUUACCAGAAAGGGACGGCUAACUCCGG
rnacentral:rRNA from 1 species